rnacentral:rRNA from 1 species
GCAGCCGCCGCGGGAAUACGAAGGGGGCUAGCGUUGUUCGGAAUCACUGGGCGUAAAGGGUGCGUAGGCGGGAUCUUAAGUCAGGGGUGAAAUCCCGAGGCUCAACCUCGGAACUGCCUUUGAUACUGGGGUCCUUGAGUCCGGAAGAGGUGAGUGGAACUGCGAGUGUAGAGGUGAAAUUCGUAGAUAUUCGCAAGAACACCUGUGGCGAAAGCAGCUCACUGGACCAUUUCUGACGCUGAUGCACGAAAGCUAGGGGAGCAAACAGGAUUAGAUACCCGCGUAGUCCCUGUCUCUUAUAC